rnacentral:rRNA from 1 species
GUCAAGUAAUUAAGUGCAUGUGGUGGAUGCCUUGGCAGUCAGAGGCGAUGAAAGACGUGAUAGCCUGCGAAAAGCUCCGGGGAGGCGGCAAAUAUCCUUUGAUCCGGAGAUGUCUGAAUGGGGGAACCCACCUACUUUAAGGUAGGUAUUGCAACAUGAAUACAUAGUGUUGCAAGGCGAACGAGGGGAAGUGAAACAUCUCAGUACCCUUAGGAAAAGAAAUCAAUUGAGAUUCCCUCAGUAGCGGCGAGCGAACGGGGAUCAGCCCAUUAAGUUAUGUGUGUUUUAGUGGAACGCUCUGGGAAGUGCGAACGUAGAGGGUGAUAUUCCCGUACACGAAAGGGCACACAUAAUGAUGACGAGUAGGGCGAGGCACGUGAAACCUUGUCUGAAUAUGGGGGGACCAUCCUCCAAGGCUAAAUACUCCUGACUGACCGAUAGUGAACCAGUACCGUGAGGGAAAGGCGAAAAGAACCCCUGUGAGGGGAGUGAAAUAGAUCCUGAAACCGCAUGCAUACAAGCAGUGGGAGCACCUUCGUGGUGUGACUGCGUACCUUUUGUAUAAUGGGUCAGCGACUUAUAUUCAGUAGCGAGGUUAACCGUAUAGGGGAGCCGUAGAGAAAUCGAGUCUUAAUAGGGCGUUUAGUUGCUGGGUAUAGACCCGAAACCAGGCGAUCUAUCCAUGAGCAGGUUGAAGGUUGGGUAACACUAACUGGAGGACCGAACCCACUGUCGUUGAAAAGCCAGGGGAUGACUUGUGGAUAGGGGUGAAAGGCUAAUCAAGCCUGGUGAUAGCUGGUUCUCCCCGAAAGCUAUUUAGGUAGCGCCUCGGACGAAUACCAUAGGGGGUAGAGCACUGUUUCGGCUAGGGGGUCAUCCCGACUUACCAAACCGAUGCAAACUCCGAAUACCUAUGAGUACUAUCCGGGAGACAGACUGCGGGUGCUAACGUCCGUAGUCAAGAGGAAAACAAUCCAGACCGCCAGCUAAGGCCCCAAAAUCAUAGUUAAGUGGGAAACGAUGUGGGAAGGCAUAGACAGCUAGGAGGUUGGCUUAGAAGCAGCCACCCUUUAAAGAAAGCGUAAUAGCUCACUAGUCGAGUCGGCCUGCGCGGAAGAUGUAACGGGGCUAAAACUAUGUGCCGAAGCUGCGGAUGUAUACUUUGUAUACGUGGUAGGGGAGCGUUCUGUAAGCCGAUGAAGGUGUGUUGAGAAGCAUGCUGGAGGUAUCAGAAGUGCGAAUGCUGACGUGAGUAACGACAAAACGGGUGAAAAACCCGUUCGCCGAAAGACCAAGGGUUCCAGUCCAACGUUAAUCGGGGCUGGGUGAGUCGACCCCUAAGGCGAGGCCGAAAGGCGUAGUCGAUGGGAAAAUGGUUAAUAUUCCAUUACUUCUGUGUAAUGCGAUGAGAGGACGGAGAAGGCUAAAUCAGCCUGGCGUUGGUUGUCCAGGUGAAAGGAUGUAGGCAUGUAUCUUAGGCAAAUCCGGGGUACUCUAUGCUGAGAUCUGAUAGCAAGCUGUACUUGUACAGCGAAGUGGUUGAUGCCAUGCUUCCAGGAAAAGUCUCUAAGCUUCAGUUACACAGGAAUCGUACCCGAAACCGACACAGGUGGUCAGGUCGAGUAGACCAAGGCGCUUGAGAGAACUCUGCUGAAGGAACUAGGCAAAAUGGUACCGUAACUUCGGGAGAAGGUACGCUGUUGUUGGUGAUGGAACUCGCUUCCUGAGCUGACGACAGCCGCAGAAACCAGGCCGCUGCAACUGUUUAUUAAAAACAUAGCACUCUGCAAACACGAAAGUGGACGUAUAGGGUGUGAUGCCUGCCCGGUGCUGGAAGGUUAAUUGAUGGGGUUAGCGUAAGCGAAGCUCUUGAUCGAAGCCCCAGUAAACGGCGGCCGUAACUAUAACGGUCCUAAGGUAGCGAAAUUCCUUGUCGGGUAAGUUCCGACCUGCACGAAUGGCAUAAUGAUGGCGGCGCUGUCUCCAGCAGAGGCUCAGUGAAAUCGAAAUCGCUGUGAAGAUGCAGUGUACCCGCGGCUAGACGGAAAGACCCCGUGAACCUUUACUGCAGCUUGACACUGAACUUUGACCUUACUUGUGUAGGAUAGGUGGGAGGCUUUGAAGCUGGAACGCUAGUUCCAGUGGAGCCGUCCUUGAAAUACCACCCUGGUAAUGUUGAGGUUCUAACUCUGUCCCGUGAUCCGGGACGAGGACCGUGUCUGGUGGGUAGUUUGACUGGGGCGGUCUCCUCCUAAAGAGUAACGGAGGAGUACGAAGGUGCGCUCAGCGUGGUCGGAAAUCACGCGUAGAGUAUAAAGGCAAAAGCGCGCUUAACUGCGAGACCCACAAGUCGAGCAGGUACGAAAGUAGGUCUUAGUGAUCCGGUGGUUCUGUAUGGAAGGGCCAUCGCUCAACGGAUAAAAGGUACUCUGGGGAUAACAGGCUGAUACCGCCCAAGAGUUCAUAUCGACGGCGGUGUUUGGCACCUCGAUGUCGGCUCAUCUCAUCCUGGGGCUGAAGCAGGUCCCAAGGGUAUGGCUGUUCGCCAUUUAAAGAGGUACGCGAGCUGGGUUUAGAACGUCGUGAGACAGUUCGGUCCCUAUCUACCGUGGGCGCUGGAAAUUUGAGAGGAUCUGCUCCUAGUACGAGAGGACCAGAGUGGACGAACCUCUGGUGUACCGGUUGUGACGCCAGUCGCAUCGCCGGGUAGCUAUGUUCGGAAGGGAUAACCGCUGAAAGCAUCUAAGCGGGAAGCCUACCUCAAGAUAAGAUUUCCCUAGGACUUUAUGUCCUCUAAAGAGCCGUUCGAGACUAGGACGUUGAUAGGUUGGAUGUGGAAGCAUAGUGAUAUGUGAAGCUGACCAAUACUAAUUGCUCGUGAGGCUUGACUA